rnacentral:rRNA from 1 species
GACAGAGGUCCCGAGCGUUAGGCGGAAUCACUGGGCUUAAAGCGUGUGUAGGCGGACUUCUAAGUACCCUGUGAAAUCCCACGGCUUAACCGUGGAACUGCUUGGUAUACUGGUUGUCUUGGGCCAUCUAGGGGCUACUGGAACAAACGGUGGAGCGGUGAAAUGCGUAGAUAUCGUUUGGAACGCCAAUGGUGAAAACAAGAAACUGGGGAUGUGCCGACGCUGAGACACGAAAGCCAGGGGAGCGAACGGG